AUUGAACGCUGGUGGCAGGCCUAACACAUGCAAGUCGAACGAGUGGCGGACGGGUGAGUAAUGUCUGGGAACCUGCCUGAUGGAGGGGGAUAACUACUGGAAACGGUAGCUAAUACCGCAUACCAUCGGAUGUGCCCAGAUGGGAUGAGCUAGUGGGUGGGGUAACGGGGCACCUGGGCGACGAUCCCUAGCUGGUCUGAGAGGAUGACCAGCCACGCAGGAAGUGAAAGACGGUGCAGACUCCUACGGUAGGCAGCAGUGGGGAAUAGUGCACAGUGGGCGCAAGCGUGAUGCGGACAUGGCACUGGUAUGAGGAGAGCCUUGGGGGUGUAAGAAAGUUUCAGCGGUGAGGCGUUACCGGCAGAAGAAGCGCCGGCUAACUCCGUGCCAGCAGCCGCGGUAAUAC
rnacentral:rRNA from 1 species